rnacentral:rRNA from 1 species
CAGCAGCCGCGGUAAUACAGAGGGUGCGAGCGUUAAUCGGAUUUACUGGGCGUAAAGCGUGUGUAGGUUGUUGUUCAAGUCAGUUGUGAAAUCCCUGGGCUCAACCUGGGAACUGCUUCUGAGACUGAACGACUAGAGUACGGUAGAGGGUGGUGGAAUUUCCGGUGUAGCGGUGAAAUGCGUAGAUAUCGGAAGGAACAUCAAUGGCGAAGGCAGCCACCUGGGCCUGUACUGACACUGAGACACGAAAGCGUGGGGAUCAAACAGGAUUAGAUACCCCCGUAGUCCCUGUCUCUUAUAA